UAAUGAAUGGUUUUAUGAAAUAAACAGAAAAGAAAAUAACCUAGCAAAUCUUACAGAGCCCAAUACAGUUUCCAAAUAUAUAACUUUAUUUCUGUGACAAAUGUAGCCAAAUAUUAAAUAAGGAAAUGGAAACAUUUUUAAGUGUUAAAGAGAAACCACUCUCGUGUUACAGUCAUGUCCACAGAAUAAGUGUGUAUCUUCAGGUCUCCUCUUAGGUUCCAGAGACUCACAGACUCACAAACCUGGAAUUUAAACACAGCUGGAGCUUGCUGACACCUCUACUUUUGUAUUCCUGGAUUUCCUUAAUUCUCAUGCCUCUAAGAGGAUGACUAGCUGACCAUAUCUGCUCAAGGUGGGACCAAACGCCCUGGGUAGUUCCUACCAGACGUGACUUGCAGAAGCAAAACACACAGUGUAGUGGAGACACAUUUAAGUCUGCCAUCAUUUUAGAUGUAGAAAUAGUACAGAAGAAGAGUCAAGAAAAAGUUUGUGUAUUACUGUCAGCCUGUCAACUCUCAACAAAUUAGAAGGUUCCACUCACCUAAACUCAACUUUGGUCUAACGGCUGGUUAGUUGAACUGAUGGUUCCUGUGCUUAUCAAAAUAGCAUCUGUCAAUCCUGGCAAAAAGGUGAAUUGUGUCUGUCUGUCCUCUUGCAGUGCUAAAACUAAUUAUUAGGAUCUUAAAAUCCUUUUGAUGGAUUAAGAGUUGCCAGUGAGCACAGUUAAACAAACCAUUGGGUUGAGAACAAAAUUUUUCCACACUGCAACAAUCUGCUAAUGAGCCAACUGCUGCCACAUUAAUCAGUUAGGAACAUGAACAAUAUAAAAAUUUUAAUUUUUUUCUCUUUCCAAUUUGAGAUAAUUUACAUACAAUAAAAUGCAUAGGCUUUAAGUGUCUAUUUGCUGAGUUUCAACAAACGUAUAUAUCCAUGUAACCAUAACACUGGUCAAGAUAUAUAAAAUUUUCCAGCACCACAGAAAUUUCCCUCAUGCCCCUUCCAGUCAAUCCUACCACCACUGCCGAGAGGCUUGUCCUGGGCGGCCGUAAGACAAGUGGAUCUCUGCAUCUGCCUGCCAGAAUCUUAACAGUCUAUGCAGAGGCCUUCCCUGGGUUCAGUCACAUAUUCAGUCCAGAUGGUCUCAGCAACACAUUGCUCACUCAAGGCCGCAUCCUUGAAAAUGGCUCCCACUGUGGAACUGUGGGCAGAACAUACGUUCAAGAACAGGGGAGGGCUCAAGGGCCAACCCCGGUCAU
rnacentral:lncRNA from 1 species